rnacentral:rRNA from 1 species
CAUGCAAGUCGAACGGAAGCAAAGAUUUCGGUUUUUGCUUUAGUGGCGAACGGGUGAGUAACGCGUGAGGAACCUGCCUUUCAGUGGGGGACAACAGUUGGAAACGACUGCUAAUACCGCAUAAUGCUUUUGAGUGGCAUCACUUAAAAGUCAAAGAUUUAUUGCUGAAAGAUGGCCUCGCGUCUGGUUAGCUGGUUGGCGGGGUAACGGCCCACCAAGGCGACGAUCAGUAGCCGGUCUGAGAGGAUGAACGGCCACAUUGGGACUGAGAUACGGCCCAGACUCCUACGGGAGGCAGCAGUGGGGAAUAUUGGGCAAUGGGGGAAACCCUGACCCAGCAACGCCGCGUGAAGGAAGAAGGCCUUCGGGUUGUAAACUUCUUUUACCAGGGACGAAAGAAAUGACGGUACCUGGAGAAAAAGCAACGGCUAACUACGUGCCAGCAGCCGCGGUAAUACGUAGGUUGCGAGCGUUGUCCGGAUUUACUGGGUGUAAAGGGCGUGUAGGCGGAGAUGCAAGUUGGGAGUGAAAUCCAUGGGCUCAACCCAUGAACUGCUUCCAAAACUGUAUCCCUUGAGUAUCGGAGAGGCAAGCGGAAUUCCUAGUGUAGCGGUGAAAUGCGUAGAUAUUAGGAGGAACACCAGUGGCGAAGGCGGCUUGCUGGACGACAACUGACGCUGAGGCGCGAA